rnacentral:rRNA from 1 species
GAGUUUGAUCUUGGCUCAGAUUGAACGCUGGCGGAAUGCUUUACACAUGCAAGUCGAGCGGCAGCGCGGGGGCAACCCUGGCGGCGAGCGGCGAACGGGUGAGUAAUACAUCGGAACAUGUCCAGUUGUGGGGGAUAGCCCGGCGAAAGCCGGAUUAAUACCGCAUGAGCUCGAGAGAGGAAAGCGGGGGACCGUAAGGCCUCGCGCGACUGGGUUGGCCGAUGUCCGAUUAGCUAGUUGGUGGGGUAAAGGCCUACCAAGGCGAUGAUCGGUAGCUGGUCUGAGAGGAUGAUCAGCCACACUGGGACUGAGACACGGCCCAGACUCCUACGGGAGGCAGCAGUGGGGAAUUUUGGACAAUGGGGGAAACCCUGAUCCAGCCAUUCCGCGUGAGUGAAGAAGGCCUU